UCUGUGCUCUCUGACUGUCUUUAUCAUCAUGCUAAGGAACUCUACACAGUCAAUAGAACCAGUGGAGAACAAAACACAGGUUCAUGCUCUUGAAGAUGAGACAGUUACUCUCUCCUGCAAGUAUAAGGAUAGUGUACGUAGUCUGCAGUGGUAUCGUCAGUAUCCUGGAUCCAGACCAGAGUAUUUACUGCUGAAAUAUCCAGGAUCAGCUGAUGUAACCCAUGCAGAUCCCACUUUCUCACAACUGGGUGCUACAGACAAUGGCAGCAUAUGGAAACUCUCAAUCUCCUCUGCUGCAGUAUCAGACUCUGCACUCUACUACUGUGCUCUGACGCCCACAGUGACAGGAAACCCAGCUACACUGUACAAAAACUGUUUCAUAUGACUGAGGUAGAGUCUUGCUUUUCUCAGCAGGGGGAGCUGUUAUUACACUCAAAGAUCUUGUC